UGUGAUGUGUCAUGCUGCUGCCGC
rnacentral:piRNA from 1 species